rnacentral:ncRNA from 1 species
UUAAAGUUUGAUUCUAGCUUAAUUAAUUUGCUUUUUUUUAAUUGUACAUGUGUAUUUUAGUGUGAUUUUAUUAUCUAAAUGUAAAUUUAGUUUAAUCGCAGUUCUUAAUUUUAUGAAAUUACAAAAUUGUAGAUAUAGUUAAUUUAAUGAGUUCUGACUAAUAUUGUGCCAGCAGUCGCGGUUAUACAAUAAGAGCAAGUGAAUUAUUUUUGAUUUAUAUUUGGUUAUUUAAGUAUUUAUUUAUAUUUUAAAUUUUGGAGUGAAAUCUUAAUUUAUUAUUGUAAUAAAUUUGAUGAUUAAAUAUGAGAGUUUGAGGUAAGACUGGGAUUAGAGACCCCAUUAUUAUGAACGGUAAAUUUAUAAUCUUAGUAUUAAUAGUUAUGAUCUUUAAAUUAAAAGAAUUUGGCGGUAAUUUAGUCUGUUCAGAGGAAUCUGCCCUAUAAUCGAUAAUCCACGAUAAAUUUUACUUUAUCUAUGCUUGUAUAUCUCUGUCAUUGAAUGUCUUAUUAGAGUAUUUUCGUUGAUCUUUAUUGUGGAAGAUGUCAGGUCAAGGUGCAGCCAUGUUAAAGAAGAGGUGGAUUACAUUAAAUUUAUUUAUGGAGAGAUAUUAUGGAAAUAAGUUUUGUAAAUUGGAUUUGAAAGUAACUUUUAUUAGAAUAUAAAAUUGAUUUAGCUCUAAAUUAUGCACAUAUCGCCCGUCACUCUCGUUAUUUAAAAUGAGAUAAGUCGUAACAAAGUAGGUUUACUGGAAAGUGAACCUGGUAUUAU